rnacentral:rRNA from 1 species
GACGAACGCUGGCGGCGUGCCUAAUACAUGCAAGUAGAACGCUGAAGCGAGGAGCUUACUCUUCUUGGAUGAGUGGCGAACGGGUGAGUAACGCGUAGGUAACCUGCCUUGUAGCGGGGGAUAACUAUUGGAAGCGAUAGCUAAUACCGCAUAACAAUGGAUGACACAUGUCAUUUAUUUGAAAGGGGCAAUUGCUCCACUACAUGAUGGACCUGCGUUGUAUUAGGUAGUAGGUGAGGGAAUGGCUCACCUAGGCGACGAUACAGAGCCCACCUGGGGGGGGGAACCGCCACACCGGGACUGGGACACGGCCCCGACCCCUACGGGAGGCAGCAGUAAGGAAACCUCCGCAAUUGGGGCAACCCUGACCGAGCCACGCCGCGUGAGUGGAGAAGGGUCUCCGAUCGUAAAGCUCCGUUGUAAGUCAAGAACGGGUGUGGUAGUGGAAAGUUCACACUGUGACGGUAGCUUACCAGAAAGGCACGGCUAACUACGUG